UUAACUUAUUUUGUUUUGGUACUCAGAAGUCCGCUAUAAAUUCAAUAAUUUGGGGCCCUCGGCGGCCGCCUUGGCCCGGGGCACGCCCAGAGGCGCGCCCGGGGCGGAUCCGCCGAAGCAACUUUGGUAUGUUCACAAUGGUUUGGGAGUCCUUUCGGAGCUCUGUAAUGAUCCCUCCGCUGGUUCACCAACGGAGA
rnacentral:misc_RNA from 1 species